GGUCGCGGAGAUUCGAUUGAGUUUGAUCCUGGCUCAAGAUGAACGCUGGCGGCGUGCCUAAUACAUGCAAGUCGAGCGAGCUUGCCUAGAUGAUUUUAGUGCUUGCACUAAAUGAAACUAGAUACAAGCGAGCGGCGGACGGGUGAGUAACACGUGGGUAACCUGCCCAAGAGACUGGGAUAACACCUGGAAACAGAUGCUAAUACCGGAUAACAACACUAGACGCAUGUCUAGAGUUUGAAAGAUGGUUCUGCUAUCACUCUUGGAUGGACCUGCGGUGCAUUAGCUAGUUGGUAAGGUAACGGCUUACCAAGGCAAUGAUGCAUAGCCGAGUUGAGAGACUGAUCGGCCACAUUGGGACUGAGACACGGCCCAAACUCCUACGGGAGGCAGCAGUAGGGAAUCUUCCACAAUGGACGAAAGUCUGAUGGAGCAACGCCGCGUGAGUGAAGAAGGGUUUCGGCUCGUAAAGCUCUGUUGGUAGUGAAGAAAGAUAGAGGUAGUAACUGGCCUUUAUUUGACGGUAAUUACUUAGAAAGUCACGGCUAACUACGUGCCAGCAGCCGCGGUAAUACGUAGGUGGCAAGCGUUGUCCGGAUUUAUUGGGCGUAAAGCGAGUGCANGCGGUUCAAUAAGUCUGAUGUGAAAGCCUUCGGCUCANCCGGGAGAUUGCAUCAGAAACUGUUGAACUUGAGUGCAGAAGAGGAGAGUGGAAACUCCAUGUGUAGCGUGGAAUGCGUANAUAUAUGGGAAGAACACCAUUGGUAGCGAACAGGGAUUAGAUACCCCUGGUAGUCCAUGGCCGUUAACCGAUG
rnacentral:rRNA from 1 species